AUUGAACGCUGGCGGUAUGCUUAACACAUGCAAGUCGAACGGUAGCAGGCCUUCGGGCGCUGACGAGUGGCGGACGGGUGAGUAACGCGUAGGAAUCUGCCUCAUAGUGGGGGACAACGUGGGGAAACUCACGCUAAUACCGCAUACGCCCUACGGGGGAAAGCGGGGGAUCUACGAACCUCGCGCUAUGAGAUGAGCCUGCGUUAGAUUAGCUAGUUGGUGGGGUAAAGGCCUACCAAGGCGACGAUCUAUAGCUGGUCUGAGAGGACGAACAGCCACACUGGGACGGAGACACGGCCCAGACUCCUACGGGAGGCAGCAGUGGGGAAUAUUGGACAAUGGGCGCAAGCCUGAUCCAGCAAUACCGCGUGUGUGAAGAAGGCCUUAGGGUUGUAAAGCACUUUCAAUUGGGAGGAAAACCUGCCGGUUAAUACCCGGUAGCUUGACAUUACCAAUAGAAGAAGCACCGGCUAACUCCGUGCCAGCCGCCGCCGUAACAC
rnacentral:rRNA from 1 species